UUUUACUAUCAUUUAUGGUAUCAUAUUUGCCUUUUAUUUAACAACUUUCCAUCGAUCCUCAUGGCCGCUGAUACACCCUCUGAAACCAAAGAAAUUUUUUAAUUAAACACCAGUACCCAACUCCCUAUCAAAUUAAACUCCACAAACAGUUUCACUCUCUUCUUAUUGCUCGCGAUCUUGAAGGGUACGUGACUGGAACAACACCAGAGAGAGAAAUAAACCAGAUAUAGCUUGAGAGAGAGAGAGGAAUGAGUUUUAAUUUUUUAUUUUAAUGAAUUUUUAUGUGUUUUGGAUAAUGGGUAAUGGAUUUUUAGGCUUGAGUCUCCGAAUGGAAAAAAAGAUGAUGCGAUGUAAAAAGAUGAAGAAGAGUAGGAAUUGAAGAUCUGGUUUUUGAAUUUAUUGAAAGAUUUAAAGUUGAUAGCUGAGAAGGAACACGAUCAACGCAAAUACUUUAUGGAACAAACAUUCGAUGAACAGUAACCUGGUUUUGGUGUUGUUGUUGUGCGUCAGUAUCGAUUUGAUUUAGCGU
rnacentral:lncRNA from 1 species